GUUAGUAGAACAACUCUAGAGGAAAAGCUGGGCCGGAAAAGUGGGAACCUCUAGGGCGCCGCCCUGUUGCUACUGGUCAAUGUGGCCAGCGCAAUUACUAUUGAAAGAGCUGAGAACAAGUACAGGUCACCUUAUGCUUUGUCACCUAAAAACGCAUACCUGAUGGCUUUAUGAAGGUGGUACGUUAAUAUUAAGUUUACAGAAAGCGAUCGCUAAGUCCGUGACUUAUGUAAAUCACGAUGUACGCAUUCAUGCAAUAAAGGAUGACGCGAAUUUCGGUUUCGAAUCUGUUUUUUGGAUGCGUAGUAGUUUCGUUUGACAUGCGAUCGCGCGUCGACAUCGGACGCUACACACUCGUGCCUUAUGUGCCACCGAAGCCCCGAAGUGGUCUGGCAUAUAUACCUUCACAUGUAAGUAAACGAAUUUAUCUCCUUGUUGAGAAUAUCACGCGAGUAGGCAGCUCUUGUGGUACAUCACAAUCGUUCGAGAAGCGUCACAGUAGAGCAUUUUUCUGCAUGCGGAGCGGUGUUUUUAUUUGCAGGUUUCCCUUCAGUAGGAAAUUGCUGGACAGGCGGACCAGCGCACCGGAAUUGUACUGGCGAAGCCACAAGCAACUCAAAGAAUCUGUUUAAUUGUUGCACUUUGAACAAUCAUGCUUCUACAAAGGCCACAGCAGAAAAACAGCCUGAUGACCGAGUAUUUCUGUGCCACGAAGUAAUCAAGAGGCGAGUGCCUAAUGCGGACGAAAUAGAGUGCAUCGAGACUUAGAACGACAGAAAGCUGAGCUAGUUCGUAAGGAUUCAUUAUGCAAAACAGAGGUGGGGCGUGCAGACAGGACACAAGAGUAGAGAAGUGGGCGGCGCGCGUGUUGUUUGCUUGUAAAUACUCUACUCUUGUUUCCUGUCUGCACGCCUCACCUCCGUUUUGCAUAACGAGUGCAUCAAGCCACAUAUUAAUAGCUUAGGCGUUUUAUUAACUGUGCAAUAUUUUCAACACUUCCUUGUAUGCCAUUUCAUGUAGCAUAUCUUUUCUGGUCACAAAUUUGUGCAGCGAAUCUAUUUGCAUGAUCGACUCCGGGCCAGUGGGACCGUUCACUUGCACUUGAUGCUGAGUCUUUUACAUGUACCCAUAAACUGCAGACAUGCACAUCAGAUCCCUGCGAGCACUUUCAAAAUUCAAUUAUUUUCGACAACAGGCACAUAUGCAAUACUGACAUAAUCCGGAAUACCACUAAGCAGCUGGGACACAUUUUUGUUGACCAUACUCGCAGGUAAAAUAAGUACAUCAUGUGGACAGCUCCAGCUCAUUUUCCUUAAGUCAGUGUGUACAAGGGUUAUGCAAAAAUAAUUUUUUUCUCGCGCACCGAUUAUUUUGCUUUAUAAGCAAGAGAACCCACCACGUUAGUGUAACGUAUCUUGUGCAUCACACUAAUAUGUGCUUUCAUUUACCAAGUGAGAUGAGUUACUUUUAUGGCUCAUUCAGUCAUAUCACACUGCAAGCUGCAUUCAUCAAUCUUCAAUGGGAUUUUGCAAAUGUUUAAUGAAACAUGUUUCCCUUUUAUGCAGAUAUGCAAUGGCAAGCCCUUCCGUGUGUUCCAAAGACAAUGCCUACGCCUAGCCACAGCAGCUCCCUCAUACAGACUCCGCAAACCAAGAGGCCGUGGAGGCAAAUGCAGGCAGCCAGCACACCUCGAACAGCCACCUUGACUGCGGGUGUGUCACCCUAGUCGCCAAGGAAACAUUUGAGGGAAAGUGACAGGCAAUGUGAACAGCCACUCCUCCAUGUAAACAAUACUCUUUCUCUCGGAUGACUCCUACGCCUCACCACGCCAGCACACUUGUGCACAAAGAUGCCGCAGAGGCACGUGCAGGUCAGAGGCAAGAAGCAGUGGCACUGGUGUCGACAUUUACCCAAUUUCUUUUUCUUACACUGAGGCAGCCAGCACACCUCGAACAGCCACCUCGACUGCGGGUGUGUUAGUUGAUCCCUGUUGUACAUAUGCUCAUAAUAAACUUCAGUAAACUUGAACUUCAUAAUAAACUUGAAGGCAAAUGGUA